GCUUUGACAUUGUCCACAUCUGUGCCAGAUGUUGAUCCCCAUCAUCCUAGCUCAUGUUCCAUAUAGCCUUGUCAUCCUCUGACCCUUGUUUCCCUGCUGUUGUUCUUUCUCCUUAUUUAUCCAUAUGGGGGUCCUUCCCAAGCCAGCGUAUUCGGGAUAGUCCUGGUGAGGUCCUAGCUUCUCUUGGAGAGAUUCAUUACAUUACACCCCCAUGGAAAUUCCACGGGAUGUUGGUUAUAUUUAUUGUGGGCUGGGUCACUCUGGUCUUCUCCAUACUUCUAUGUCUGUAGUUCUCAGACACAUGUGUUCAACCUUCAGUGCCUUGAGCUCCCUUUGGGAUGGUGAAGGCUGUAUUUCACGGCCAGGAUGUCUGCUAUGUGCAGGGCUGAGCCAUUGGUAGAGCACUUUCCCCUCUUCCCUGGUCUUAUGUUGAGAACAUAAGAUCUUCAGAUAUGGUAGGCUGGAGGUCUUGACAUAGGUGUGCCUUCUUUAUGGAACCUGCCCUGAAUAUCCUUGUUGGGAUGAGUUGGCUGAAGGUGAUUGAGUGAUUUGUCUGACUAGGAAAAUUCAUUGCUUGGUCCUCUCCUGGGAACCAUUAUCAGAGUCUCUAGUCUCCUGGCCUCCUGACAAAUUACAUGGUAGGUGCUUAUGGCAGGAGUCCUUGUCAUUAUCUUUCCUGACUGGACAGUUUUCCAUUGUGAUGCCUCCUGUAAAAGUAGAUGGGUUCCAUGUUGAAAUGGCCCCAUCUGAAAGUCUUAAUCUCACAGUCCUGGAUCAAAGUUUUGCCAGGAAGAGAAAAUAAGCUCGAUUUUAGGGAUUGCUGAUCCUGUGAGUGAUCCAGCAUACUUCAGGAAUGAAUGGAUCAGGAAUUCAACAGUGGACAUUCCAGGUCUCUUUUUCCAGUCCUCCUGAAUGCCAAUUAUUUUGAUAUGUUGAGUUCUCAAUUGAAUCUGGAUAAAAAUCUGCCAUCUAAUUAAUACAGAUAAUCUAUUUCCUUCAAUAUAUUUUCUGUAUAUAUGAUAUAGAAAAAAAUUGUUCUGUUACCUACUGCUAUUCCUGAGAACAUUUUCAUUAACCCAGUCAUUGGGAUAAUCUAUCCAAGCACAGCAGAGUCCAUAGGUAUUUGAACCACACGUUUAGGGCCAUGGAGGGGACCCUGAAGCCAAGUGCCUGGAAUCUGGUACAUCCCUCUAUAGCUCAAUGGGAGAGGCCCCUAAGGUGUGGGAUGUUUGGGUGACUGAAAUGAAUAAGUUAUGGCCCUUUAUCCUCCCCAUUUAGACUUUGUAAUUUCCUGAAGCUUCUAUAAGAGUUCUUCCAUUUGAGCUUCAGACAUAUUGAUUGCAUUAUUUAUCCUAUGUUUUUACUGUACUAUGUUUUAUACUGAAUAUUUUUGUUUUAUGACUGUAUUCUCACUUUGGCUAAUAUCAGCUCCUAUGUCUUUGAGGAUAUAAACCAUACCUAUAUUAUUUUCUUGAUCUCAGUUUAGUAAUUCCCUUUAUAGAGUAUAGGUUUAGUUUUCUUAAAGGCAGUACCUUUCGGUGACUUUGUCCUGUGAAUUCUCGUUGGUGACUCUCCUACCUGAAAGUAUAUAUUGAUGGAGAGGCUUGAUUGAGAAAUAUUCUGGUUGUCUGAGGUGAUGUCCACCUGCAUUGAAUGUCAAAGUGUACAGUACCUGGAUGUCCUCACAUGUGAUGUCUUAGUUGCUGUUCCUUCGAUUUUUCCCCAGAGGAAGCAGAGACCUAAAUGCUAGAAGGUGGGACCUGGAUGCCUCUCAUGUCUAUUCUGAAUUUGUCACCCUACCUGAGUGUAGAACUUAAUGGUGGUUCCAGUUGUUUUCAUCAGGGGCUUUUAUGAUAAUGUCUCAUCUGGUUGUAGCUCUUAUCAGUGCCAUUAGCUGGGUCAAAGUGACUUUUUUGUCACUUAUUUAGCGAUCUGUCCUUGUAUCUCAAAAUCAAAUGUCCAAGUUUGAAAGCUGUGAAGCCUAGGCUUAUUUAGGCUAUUUCAUCUUCAUCAUUAUUGGUCCCUUGUUUUUAUUUCUAUUGCUGGUGACUGGUCACCAUGAUAUUUAGACCAGUGCACUGUCAGAACGGAAAUUGAUUCUUCCUUCGCAUAGGCUGAAGGAAGUGGUAGAGUCAAAAUUAAUGCAGUGCAUAAUCACCUUUGUGUCUCUGAAAUCUCUGGCAGUGGAAGACAGGAGUGCUACUCCUCUGUGCAAAGCUGGCAUGGAGGCUGCAGGUGACAGCAGGAAGGUAAGAGCAGGGGCUCACUUCCAGACCCUCGAGUCAUCAUGAAGCCACAUCCCUAGGGAUGGUCUCCUGAAAUGCUUCUGCUGGGCAACUGAGGCUCUAUGACCUGACACAAAGAAGUCUGUGAAUGACCGUGGGAACCACCCAGAAGAAAUAGAAGAAAUGGCUGCAUCAUUCAAAGAUGAAAAAGCUUUAAUAGAUAAGAGCAGUUCUGAGGCGUCUCUGCACAGCACACAGUCCUGAUCAUCACGAUUUGGGGGGAAGUUCAGUGUUGAGGAGCCCCUUCCUGUUAGCUGUUGAGAAGACAGGGCUGGUGUUGACUGUUUCUCCAGAACUGAGCAUCUGGGGACCACAUGCCCAGGAGGAGUGAGUCUGUUGGAGCAGUGAGAUGAUAUCACUUGUGCUGCAGAAACCCCUGGGCUCAUCCAUUGGCCCAUGGGAUUUUAUCCCCUUAGACUACGUGGGAUGUGCCAUCAGAUAGAGGUUUUCUUCUUGUGUGGAGUGUGACAUAGGAUGUUCUUGUGUUUUUCCACUAUCAACAAUUCAAAGCACCAUCUUUCAGGCAGUGAGAGUUUCCUCUUUCCCUCCUUGGACAGUUGCAGGAAGACCCAUCUCACCCUGAACUGCUCAUACAAGGAGCAGUUGGCACUAGUGCUCACCGUAUUUAUCCUUGUUGUUUUGAUGGAGCUGCCCCUCCUCGCCUCUGCCUGUUCUUUAUUUUUGCAUCCUUCCUGCUCUUUGUUAUGCAAGGUCCUUAGCAUAUCUUUCUCCUCUCUGGUUAGGAACUUCCACUGAAUAGGACCUGGGGAAUUUUAAGCCUUUGGAUAUUCCUUGUUUACUGAAAGUUGUUGUUUGUUCCUAGAAUUCUCCCUUGUCUGUGGAUAUUUUGACACCUCCCCUGACACCCACUAACUUUCAUGGCAGUGUCAUAGUUUAGGAGGAGGAAAGUGCCUUUUGGGGAGGUAGUGCUGGUAGAGAGACCUGCUUUCUCCUUCCCUCAAGCUCUACUCUCCUCCACUGAUGGGGGCUUGGGCCUUACACCCCUUCUCCUAAAUCUUAGGAGACUGUCUUUGAAAGGACAAAUGUUAGGCAUGUCUGGAAGAUGAGAUGGUGGUAUGUGGCUUUUUCUCAUUUUGAUUUCUGCUUUGAAAGCCUUUUUUGCUAAUCUGUGUGCUGCCUGAUUCAGGAGAAGUUCUUACAGGUAGCUGCCCUGAGGAGGGUCCACAGAGAAGGAGCUUGUGUUCCUGUAACUUGUCUCAUGGGAGCACCUGAGUCCCUCAUGAGGCAACUUGAGUAAGACGAUUUACCUGGUUUACUUCAAUUAACUCCUGUCACAUAACUACAUACUACUGACCAUUUGGUGAGAGAAGAAAUGACAUCUGACCUUUGUGAUUAUGAGCUUUUAAAAGAGGUGGCUUCCUCUCUUCUUUCCAUUAUCCUUGUAGCUGUCUUUGAGGCUAAGCGCCAACCCCCUAGGAAUGGCAGAGCAAAAACAGAGAAAUGUUCCUUGAGCAUUGUUUCAGGUGCAUUUUCUAAAAGACGUCCACUGGGCUAGGACACCCCAGCAAAGAGGCUUCCUAUUCAUGGCCCUCAGCUACAUUUGAUGGGAGAUGUUCCUGGAGGUGGAGAAGGGUGCUUGUAACCUCCAGAUCAGGGAAACAUACAGUAGUUGUCCAUCUUGGUCCCUCCAAACACUCAUUUUCAUGUGUCUUGAGAUGGCAAUUGGUAUCUGAAAAGCAUACAAGAUGAUAUUGAAGGCAGCUUAGUGUUAGGAGGAAAGACAGCCUGAUCAGGGAGAGAGGGUUUCAGCUUGCCCAUACAGGGAAUGGAGGUUGCAUUGCCUUGUUGUCUUCCUGAAACUAAUUCGUAUUUGAAUAAUCUGUGUUAUUUUGAAAGGAAAGGUUGUAGUUUGUCCUCUGACAUGCUACCUUGUUUUUCGGCUCCCAUUGUUUCUAAUGAGGCCAUCCUGUUCUUUCAUUUGAAACUCCAUGGUCAAGUCAGGGGAGAGACUGACACUUUCUCUAUACACGAAUCUUGGCAGAGCCUAACCUAGUGGUAUGGUCUGACUGGCCCCUGCGCUGAUGCUCUAAGGGGAGUCUUUCCAAAAUGGCAUUGUUUUGACUUCUGUCCAGAAGUCUGUGUGUGGAGUAGGCGGUGAGGUGGGAAAAGUUUUUCUUAUAGUAAAACGUAAUUCCCUGAGCUCUGUUCUGUUUAGACUUAAGAAGUACACAUUGAAGAUGUUCAGAAUUGUCAUUCUUUUGAUGACAGUGCUUCAUCAAGAUUUGCUGAGCUGUAUCAGAAUACAUACUGAAGAUUGGUGCCUGCUCCUAUCAGGUGGGAUACUGGGGAAGAGAUCCUACCUGGGAUGCUUGGGCCAUCUUCCCUGGGGAAAGUAAGGUUUCACAAAGUGAUCUGUCUCAGAAAAUGAAGACCCUACAAGAUCCAGAGCACCCCAGAAACAUCUGCUGGUCAUCCUGAGGUGGAGAAUCCCAUGAUGAUUUCCAAAUUAGAGGCAUCAGCCUGGGCAGAUACCAGAAGAUGUGGGCAUAGCAGGAUCAUAGGCAUUGGAAAUUCCAGGACUCAGUGGUGAAUGUUGGAAGCAGUUCUAUAUAAGGGAACUUCCUCCUCCACCACUGAAUUGAUCUGGUUGGUCCUUUUGACGAUGGCCGUUGCUCAAUUUUUUGCCACUGCUUUCUCCAUUUGAUGCAGCAAUGCUUGAAUUACCAGCCUGUCAAGGUUGAGAGUUAAUGCCAGUUUCUCCAGGCAGCCCGACCUGGGUCUAUGGGCUGGCUGAAUACAUCUUUCAGUGCUCUACAGCUGUAAGACUGUGCAGCCCAGAUGGGCACACUUUGGCUCUGCUGACAAACACUUUUUUUGAGAAUGCAAUAGUUCAAUCACCUGGGUCACCUCUAAGUUUUUCUGCCUCAAUUUACUUUGUCAGAUAUCCUUUGAAGUCACCACCUUUCUAUACCCCACAUCUUGCCUCAUAUUAACAGGGCAAUCUUGGUAUUGCAUGCAGAAUUCUAAGAUGACACCAGGGUUUCCAUUCUGGGCUGUUAGGACCACAAUUAAAUUACCUUGUAUGGCAAGGGUGAGGGGUUUUCCAGAUGUAAUUGAGAUCCUAAAUCAGGUGAGUUUGUAUUCAAAAGGGAGAUUAUCCUGGGUGGUCCUGGUUUAAUUUAGAAGUCCUUUAAAGAGAUUUUAGUUCCUUCUGACCGAAGAGACUCCAAUAUCUACUGAGACUCGCUCUCCUUUUCUGGCUUAGACUGAGGUGACUGUCACAAGGAAAUGAGUUCUGCCAACUGAGCGAACUUGGAAGUGACAUCUUGGCUAGUUCAUCCUCUAGAUGGAAUGUAGCUCAGGUAUCACCUUCGUUUGCCUCUUGUGAGACCCAGAGGAGAUCCCGGUUAAGCUGUGCCCAGAUAUCUGAGCUACAGAAACUUUGGUAUAGUAAAGGGGCAUUGGUUUUAGCCACUACAUUGGUGGCAAUCCUGUCAUACAGCUACAGACAAAACACCUUCGCUAAAGCCUUUCUCAGCCUCACCUCCUCCAGGGUUUCCCGAGCUGUUGACGCCGUGCCGAGUCAGCUGGGUGGAGCUGCCCUCCCGUGUCUGAGCAGAACUGCACCGGGUGCCCUUGACUGGGCCUCAACCGCUACAUAGUUUUUCCUUGUCAAGUUUCCUUGUCAUAGUUUCCUUGUCAAGACCUACUCUUCCUUGUCGUCUUUCCAUUUAUCUGCUCUUCAUUCUUGAAAGUACCUUGGCGACAUCACUGUUGUCUCCUCAAAAUAGGAAAUGGAGAAAUAUACGCUUUUAGUUCCUGGUUGGUGAUUAAUUCUUGGAUCUCUCCUUUGUUGGAGAGAAGAGGAUAUGAUGACCAUUCUGCCUCCACUUCCCCCACCCUGAUCAAUAUAAGGUAGAUGAGAAGUCAAAAAAGACCCUUCAAAAAGACGUCUGUGAGGAGGCCCAUUUCCUGCUCUACAUAAGCAUAAUGUCACACAGUGAACAAAUUCAGGUUCUAUGCCUUGCCCCGGCAUCUGACUAGUACGUGGUCUUUUGUUCCCUGUGGACUUCUGCUUUGGCCUCCUGUAGUUAAGUUAUCUGCCCUGUGCUGCCUGGUCCAGGAGAAGGCUGUGGGGUAGCUGACUUGAGAAGGGCCCUGCAGACGGGCCCGUAUGCCCAUGACUUCCCUGACACGGGCCUGUGAGUCCCCAGAGUCAACUGCAUGAAGUUGAUUUCCCUGCUCUCCCCCUUAGCUAGGUCCAUAACUACAUUCUUCCUACUCUGGGGUUCUGAGGCAUAAUGGUAAGUGAUGGGACCUUCAUGACCUUGCUCCUUGACUCUACCAGUUGAGACAGAAGACUUGAGCAACUUUAUAUUUUGAAACACAAGAUGGAAAGCUAAUCCUCCCUUGGCUUAGGUAAGCAAGAUGACGUCUCCUGGUCCUGGAUAAUCCUCUGGGCCCACAUAUGAGAUCUCAGGAUUUUAAUCUUGUCCAUCUCCUGCUACAUUUCAUCAAUUACAAGUGACCCUCAUAGUUUAAAAAAUUACUCAUGACGGGUUAGUUUCUGCUACAACCAUUUUCAGAGCAUUACUCUCUAAUUGGUCUUGAGUAUUUUUUUCUCUUUAAGAUGUACAUCACGCUGACCUCAAUGACUCAUACGAUAAGAGGUUGGCACUAAUGACAAACAUUUAUUUUCCUUUCCAUUUUGAUGUGGCUGUUCUCUAUUAUUGAUAUCACCUUGGCAUUGUUACUGCUGUCUUGUGAGGUUCCCUCAAGUAGGAUAUGGAGAAUUUUGUGUGUCUAGGUUGUGGACCAUGAAGAGCUGUUUCUAGAAUUCUUCCUCAUAAGAGAGAGGUUAUGAUCACCACCCACUCAGAAUGAAAAAAAAACGUAGAUAGGACAGAGUAAAUUGUAUCUCUGCAGAAGACAGUACUGGUGAAGAGGCCUGUUUCCUCUCACAUAUGUAUCCAGCAAUCCCUACCAAACUGGACACGAGGGAUGUAUUCCUUACCCUGAAGUCCUAGCGGACUGGUUUAGAGGGAAAUCUUUAUUUAAAAACAACAACAACAACAAACCUCUGCAAGGAGGGAUGAGAGGGGUGUAGUGGAUUUCUGCUUGAGCUUCCUUUUUCUAAGCUUCCCUCUGCUGCCUGAUGGAGCGAAUGAGUGUACAUCUAGCUGACUUAUGGAGAGCCACAUGGUAAGGACGAUGAGUCCUAUAACUUACAGGGUCACGUGGGUUCCUCACGAGACAAUGUGUAUGAAGUCCCUGCUGUCCUCAGUUAGCUGAGGUCAGGUAAAUAAGGACUGAUCAUGGAGCUGAGCAAAGUGGUACCUGAUCUUCAAGACUGUUCCCUUUAAAAAGAGGUGGUUUCUCCUCCCUCUUCCAGUGUCCUCCUUACUGAUGACAGUGACUCCUUCUAUGAAUGGCAGCACAAACGCAGAGGAGUGGGUCCCGAGUGCUCCUGCUGGUGCAUUUCUAUGAGGUGUCCACUUGACUGAGACAUCCCAGCAAACAUCUGCUCUCCCAUUCAUGGCCCUGAGCUGCAUUUGAAGGGAGCAGAUGGUCCCAGAGGUAGAAGAUUGUCUUUAACCCGCAGCUCGGGCACUUAUCAUUGAAUGUGUCUGUCCCUACAGAGCACCCAUUCUGCUAUCACCUAGAAUGUGUGGUCUUCAGACACUACCCACCCAGGUGGAAUGGGAAGUGGCUCAGAGUUUGCCUGAGGGUCCUCACAUCCAGGAGUGAGGACUCCACGCUUGCCAAGAAAGGCAAGAGAGAUUUGUCUUGUUUCUUUCCUGUGAUUAAGUUUUACUGUCUCCUUUCAACUAAAAUACCCUCACUGCUGUUUUGUGCUGAAACAAGAGUCCAGAGGAUGUGUCAUAGAGCACGCCAGCCUCUACCACACUUGCCACUCAUUCCAGAAAAAUGCCAAACUUCCUGGGUACCAUUCAGCAGGAAAGGGUCAGACCAGUCCCACUGCAGCAGGGUUGUAACUAUUCCAUAGUUUGUGUCUCUGACAUUCAUCUUCUUGUGAUGGUGUCUUUUUCCUCUCAAGAAAAAUUUAUAGGCCCCUAAUCCCAUUUAGUGCCUUGUCCCAUCACUGCCUCUCAGUAAUGUCUGCCGGAAUCAUUCCUUAGAAUUCUGAUUACUGGAGAUGAAUUUGCUUUCCUUGGAAUCUGAGUGGUUUUACUUUGUCUUUCCAAAUAUAAUUCUCUUCUAUCAAGAAUAUAACACUGUGUUGUGUUAUCUAAAAUUCAAUCUGACAUGAAUGUAAUGAGUUUUGAAGAAAGAUUCUGUGGGAGAAAUCUGCAAUGUUCCUUUCCUACGUUGCAAUGGAACAGACACUGAGGCUUUAGAUCUCCAUUCCUUUAUGAAUAAUUUAAUGUCAGUUACUGCAUUUGAAUGGUACACGAUUCAUUAUAUUCCUGUCAUUUAGGGAAGAACGUGAUCUGACAAAUACUAUCUUAUUACCUUUUAGUUUGGUAAGUGAUCCUUUUCAGUUCUUAAGAUUCUAAGGACUAUCUCCUUCUCUCUUGAAUAUGAUCAAUUUAUGCUCUUUCUGUGGAGGGAAGAAUUUAAAUUUCAUCCUCUGCCAUUUAUCUUUAUUUAGUCCCAUGAUUUCUAAUGAAGCCUGGCCUGAGGGCCUGGGAAAUGCUGCCUUCUCCUCUGAAACUCCAGGACUGAAUCAGAAGCAAGAGUGAAGUGUAUAUGCAGUGAAGUCAGAAGGACAAGCAUUUCGAUGUCGAACCCCUGGUCACAGUGGUUUUGAGGCUGUGCUGAUGGACCAAGUCAAACCCUCCCAAGCUUACUUGGCUUGGACUUUCCCACUGGUGUCUACGAAGGUUUUGUGUGAACUUCUCCUGCCAAUCCCCCCGUGUCACAGCCUAAGAUGUCCUUUAAUUGUGUGCCUGAUACUUUUUUCUUGUGUGUCAGGACUGGGGUCCUUCCCUCCAUGUCAUUUGACAUGAUCCGUGUGAGGCUUCUCAACUUCUGUACACUGUGAACAAGAUUUUAGCUCUCAAUUAUCCCCAGACACAGGGUGUUGAUUACGUAGGCAGUGUGUACUGGGGGAUGGGCCACUCUGGGCUUGCCCCCAAGGCUGGCACACUGGGGUCUCAGAUCUCUGGGCUUCGUUGCACUGCCAUGCAAUCCCGCCUCCAGUGUUCACUUUCAUGCUUCUAAGUUCAGUAUCUCAAAGGGGUGGAAGCUUCAAGUGAUGGCCUCUUUGACAUGUGGGAUCCUUUUUCCACUGGGGGUGGUACUCUGAGAAUGUGGGUCCAUAGGUGUUUGAACACUAGUCAAGAACCAUGGAGGAAACGUGAACCCCAAAGCCUCAAAGUCUAUCUCUUCCUCUAUACUCUGGCGGGGUGGGGUGGGGACACUGAGAAAGGGGUGUCUGAGGGACUGAAUUGAAAAUAUUCUGUUCCUUUUCCUUACUACCCUCUAUUUUUUCCCCUGUAAUUACACAGAGAGUGGAAACAUAAGAGAUUAUUAAAACUGUGUUCUUAAUAACGCGGAAUAUAGGCAUUCUUUUCCUCUGAUGUUCAAGGGCUGGGGGCCUCAUUUCAGACUCAGGGUUCCUCCUAGAUUGGCUCAGUCAAGACUGUCAUGGAGCCAAGCCCACUGGGGUCUCCCUCACUCCAGAGGAUAUAUGUAGCCAGAUCCGAGUUUCUCCCAUAUGUACUGCAUUCGGGGCAUAAAGUUAUGUCCCCAGAGAGAUGGGCACUUUCAGCUGUGAUUCUGGUUGCUGUGGCUGUACAUCUGCAUAAGCAGUGAGUCUGCCUGGACAGUAGCCCACUGUGUGAUGUCUUUGGUUUGUGACUGUCCAGUUGGGCUGAGGGCCUAUUGUCCAGGUCCUGAAAACAGGCCAGUAAAUAUGAUCCGAUAUAUUGAGGAAUUCCCAACAGAAUCAGAUACAUCAUUGUAGAUAUAAAAGAUACUUCAGUAAUAUGGACCAAAAUACCCUGUUUCUUUUGUAACUGGUAACACAGGUUGACUCUCAUAAAAGCCAGGUGACUCCUUGCAGCCACGUGGCUGAUGGAGCAUCCUGUGGGAUCUUGAGCUGGUCACCGCUCAGCUUCCACAGAGCAGCUCUGUCCUGAGAGGCGCUUCAAGUUUCACAUUAACAUUAUCAUUCAUUCUAGUUGCCCCAGCAUGCGGGAGAAUUCCACAGCCUGGAGCCACAAACUUCUCAGCAGCCCAGUGGCAGACGUGAGUCCAUGGUGAACUGAAGGCCACUCCUGACAGGGACUGUGAUGCUGUUCCCCAACCUGCCUCUGACAUUCACCUCCCUCAGGACUGGGGAACCUAUAUGUAGAGAGACCUAAAACCAAACCCUUCUCUUAUGGUUAGAGAACAGCUGCCUUGUCAGGUUUAGAGGGGCUGGUAUGAGACUCCCACCCUUAUGUGACCGCUAAGCAGGAUCCAAGUUUGAGAGCCUAAGAAAUGUUUUCUCUUUCUUCCUUGUAGACUCCAGAGAGGAGAAGUCAUCCUCUCUGGUGCCUGGGAGCUGAUGUGUCAUCAGUGUCAAUUAUAUCAACACCAGUGCUGACCGUGAUCAACACCACCACUUCUCCUCUGGGCAGGAAGGGCUCAGUUUCCUCCACCCAAGGAGUGGGAUUCUAAGUCAAUCUCAUCACCUGGGUGUCGAAAUCCUGGGCCUGCCAGGCUUAUGGGACAAAGUGUGAGGCAGCGCUACCUUCUGCGAUGUGCAAACAACUGCUGGUCUUGCUUUCCUGGGCUUAGUCCUUUCGGGUUUGUAUUUGCUGAUGUUUUGGGGGCAGUGAUCCAGGGAGCCUUUAGAAUGGCUGUCCUGGGGGAUGAUAGACAAGGUGCAGAGCUGGUUCUCAGAAGACUUGCUGGAGAAGUUGAGAACGUGACCAGCAUCUUAGUCACUCCCCUUGGUCAUCAAGGGAGAGCACCCUUUUGGAAAAUUUUCAGGCAUUUUCAUUUCAAGGGAAUAAUUUGUGUAUGGUUAGUACAUUUCUCUGAACCCAUGGUAGAAUCCAGGAAGGAAGUCUUGAGCCCAGAGAAUACUUUGUGGGAAGAUUACAAAUAUAUAUUUAGUUCCUUUCAUAGGAAAUCUAGAUAACUUCUAUUGUUUCUGGGGUAGUUUUAGUAAUAUAAGUGUUCGGAGUCAUUUACGGCUCUACCUUUGAAGUUUAAAUUAAAUGAACACUGGUUAUAAUAUUCUUUCAAUAUGACAGGUUGAGAUACUAAGAAGACAUAUUCUUUUUGUCACUAUGUUCUUGAUCAUUGCUGCCAGGGAAAGAAUACUUAUGAAUCUUAUGUUUUGAAAUAUAAAACCUCAGUGAGUUGGUAUGGAUGCCCUUGAAUACUGUAUGCAUUUCUUACUGCUGCUGUAGCAGAUGACCACCAAGUUUCUGCUUAAAUCAGAAUUUAUUUUAGCUUUCAGUUUUGGGGGGCAGAGUUUGAAAUGGGUGUCACUUGGAUAAAAUCAGGUGUUUACAGAGUUGUUCCUUCUGGUUUUCUAGAAGACAGCUUUCCUGCCCUAUCCACCUUCUGGAGGCCUCCUGCAUUCCCUGUCUUGGGCUUUUUCUUGGUCUUCAGAGUCAGCAAUUCUUUAUCCUUUCAACGGUGACCUUGCAUCCUGAAAUCUCUUUGACUCUCACCUCCACUUCUGAAUCCCUCUUCUACUUUGUCACUUUAAUCACCCUUGUUACUACAUGGUGCCUACGUAGAUAAUCUCCUUAAUUUAAGGUCAGCUGAUUAGCAACCUUAAUUCCAUCCACCUUAAUUCCCUCUUGCCAUUUAACAAGACAUGUUCAAGAGUCUGAGGAUUUGGACAUGAACUUCUUCCGUGGUCCCUUUAACUGUCUAUUUUUUUGGUACUUGAUUUGGCAGUGAUCCCAGGGAGCUCAGGGAAGGGAGUGGUGAACCAGAGAUGAGGUGUUGGGAACAGCCCCACUGAAUUGGGUAUUGUUGAGCUGGUCACCUAUAGAGGUGAUGGGGCUCAGUCCCCCUGGGGACCAUCUGAGGAUCCAUGUGGAAUGUAUCUCAGAAUUCACUCUGCUGAGUGACAAGAGUCUGGUCAUUUAUCCACUGUCUGCCACAUUGUUUAUAGUUACCUCUGUCCUCAAAGGAACCCCUGUGGAACAAGGGGGCCAGGAAGGUGAGGGUGUGGCAUAAAGCAGCCUGUCUUUCCAGAAGGAAGGUGAACCUCCUGGAUUCCCCUUUUAGCAGAAGAGGGACAGGUUCACUUCCUGCUGAAGUAGUGCAGCCGCAUGCAUCUUCCUGUGAUGGAGACUUUUUCCCUCUCCUGGGAAGCGUGUCUUUACGCAGCCCCUAGAUCCCAUCCAGACUUAUCCCUACCUCUGCCUUCUGCAAAGCCUGCCUGUAUACGUUUUGGGUGGCAAAGAUAACAAUCAUUAACCUCAUUGUAUUUAAAGGAUGAUUGCCUCUCUGAAAAUCGCUAUUUUAUGCCAAAAAAACCCAGAUGAGAAUGGAUCAUUUCAGGACAUAAAUUAGAUGUACCUCAUAUGCCAGAUUUUCCUUACUGCAGCUUGGGUCACUCAGGUCUUCCCCCAAGGUUUGCACACCUUGAACUCUCAGAUCUCUGGCCCUUCACACUGCCCAGGAGAUCAUCCCCCAAUGCCUUCGUGGGCCAUGGUUUCAGUAUCUUAAUGUGGUGGUACCUUCAGGGUGACAGCCUUCUCUCAUCUGUGGGCUUGUUUCCAUUGGUUUUGGUUAUUCUAUCCAAAAAUAUAUUUUGGGGGGACAAGAUUAUCCCCAAACAUGUAUCAGAUGUCCACCCUGUUGAAGUGUGGUCCACCCAUAGAAUGGAGAUCUAUUCUAUUAAUUGUUCCUUUAAUUAAUCUAUUAAUAGAAUGUAAAUCAAUAUGCUAAGUGGACGGAAUGCUGUCUGCAAUGUGUCGUGUGUGCCUGCUGGACAGUACACACAGGAAGCGCAGGUCGAAUGCAGGAAGGCUGCAGCCAGACACCCCUAAGUUUUUCUUGAUGCCUUUGGCACCAUCAGCAACGUGAUUGACUCAGGCAUUGUGAAGGCAGUGCUGAUCUUGGUCAGCAGCAGCACUUUCUGCUCUAGGCAGCCAGGGCUCAGUCUGGAAACACGGAGCAGAGUUCUAUAACUGUUCCAGUCACCAUGGUGCCACCCUCUGUGAAGUAAAAGUGAGUGUCAUAUUAUACCAGUGCACUGUCAGAAUGGAAAUUGAUUCUUCCUUUGCGUAGGGUUGGCAUUUGUGCUAUGCUUGUGCCUUCCCGUCUGGUUGUGCUUGGUGAUAUGCUUCUGAGUUCCUGGAGGAUGGGUGCCAUGGGAGGAAAUAGAUAAUUUUCAGACUGUCAGGCAGACUUGCUUUGAUGGUGCAUGGUGACAAGGGUUCCAUUUCUCUGGGCCGCUCUGCUGACCCACAAGCUAGUGUGAAGCACGCUUUCACUGGCUGUCUCUGAGCAGAAUCACUCCCAUCACAUCUCUGGCAGUAAAGUUUGAGGAGCCCCCAGUGUAUUUAAAAGUCCACUUGGUCCUCAGGGAUGAGACUUAUGUGAGCCUGGGGAACUCUGUGUCCAGACCACACCUGAAGAGGGUUUUUUUUUUUUUGUCCUGGACAGGGCUCCUCUGGGGGUAUUUGAUUUGCACCAUGAAAAUAUCUGGAUUUAAAAUUGGCUCCUCAUAUCUGUUCUGAAUUUCUCUUCCUUCCUGAGAGUAUAGAAUUUAAUAAAGAGAUUGUCUUUUUUCUUAGGGGCUUUUAUGAUAAUGUCUCAUCUGGGUAUGCUCCUAUCAUUGCCAUCAACCGGUUCCAGGUGAUGUUUUUGUCAUUUAUUUGCUGACCUUUCCUUGCAUCUCAAACUUCAAUGUCCAAGGAUGGAUGCUUGUCAAGUCUAGGUUUACUCAGGCUAGUUCAUCUUCCUCAUGACUAAUCCCUAGUUCCUGGAUUCUAUUGCUGGUGACUGGUCACUGUGAUGUUUAGACCAGUGCACUGUCAGAACGGAAGUUGAUUCUUCCUUUGCAUAGGCUGAAGGAGGUGGUAGAGUCAAAAUUAAUACAAUGCAUAAUCACCUUUGUGUCUCUGAAAUCUCUGGCAGUGGAAGACAGGAGUCCUACUCCUCUGUGCAAAGCUGGCAUGGAGGCUGCAGGUGACAGCAGGAAGGUAAGAGCAGGGGCUCACUUCCAGACCCUCGAGUCAUCAUGAAGCCACAUCCCUAGGGAUGGUCUCCUGAAAUGCUUCUGCUGGGCAACUGAGGCUCUAUGACCUGACACAAAGAAGUCUGUGAAUGACCAUGGGAACCACGCAGAAGAAAUAGAAGAAAUGGCUGCAUCAUUUAAAGAUGAUAAAACUUUACAUAGAUAAGAGCAGUUUUGAGUCAUCUCUGCACAGCACACAGUCCUGAUCAUCACGAUCCGGGGGGGAGUUCAGUGUUGGGGAGCCCCUUCCUGUUAGCUAUUGAGAAGACAGGGCUGGUGUUGACUGUUUCUCCAGAACUGAGCAUCUGGGGACCAUGUGCCCAGGGGGAGUGUGUCUGUUGGAGCAGUGAGAUGAUAUCACUUGUGCUGGAGAAACCCCUGGGCCCAUCCGUUGGCCCUCAGGAUUUUAUCCCCUUAGACUACGUGGGAUGUGCCAUCAGAUAGAGGUUUUCUUCUUGUGUGGAGUGUGACAUAGGAUGUCCUUGUGUUUUCUACUUACCAACAAUUCAAAGCACCAUCUUUCAGGCAGUGAGAGUUUCCUCUUUCCCUCAUUGGACAGUUGCAGGAAGACCCAUCUCACCCUGAACUGCUCAUACAAGGAGCAGUUGGCGGUAGCGCUCCCCGAAUUUAUCCUUGUUGUUUUGAUGUAGCUGCCCUUCCUCACCUCUCCUGCUCUUUAUUUUUGCAUCCUUCCUGUUCUUUGUUAUGCAAAGUCCUUUGCAAUGUUUCUCCUCUCUGGUUAGGAAUUUCCACUGAAUAGGACCUGGGGAAUUCUAAGACUUUAGAUUGUCCUUGCUUGCUGAAAGUUGUUUGUCCCUAGAGUUCUCCCUUGUCUAUAGAUUUUUGACACCUCCCCUCCCACCAACUUACUUUCAUGGAAGUAUCAUAGCUGCUCUGAUGGAGGGGCCACAGAGGAGCUUGUAUUCCUGUAACUUAUCUUACUGGAGCACCUGAGUUCUUCAUGAGUCAACUGGGAUCAUGCCCUUUUAAAGGAAGUGGCCUCCCAUCCUGCCCCAUUAUCCUUAUUACUCACUGAAGAUGAGACUCAACCCCUGUAGGAAUGGGCAGAGCAAAAGAGGAAGAUUGUCCUUGAGGGUUCUUGCUGGUGCAUCUUCUAAGAGGUGUCCACUGGGCUGGGCCAUCGUAGCAAAGAGGUGCUUCCUAUUCACAGCCCUGAGCUACAUUUGAUGGGAGAAAAUGGUCCUGGAGGUGUGGAGUAGGGUGUUUGUAACCUACAGAGUGGAAAAACAUGUACUGUAUUAUGUCCAUGUUGGUCCUUCCAAAACACCUACUCGUGAUCACGUAUUCCAAUUGUGUGGCUUUCAGACACCAGUUGUAAGCUGGAAUUGAAGGCAGCUCAGGGUUAGGAAGAAACAGCUGUAUCUGGGAGAGACUUUUGUCUUGCCCAUACAGGGAAUGGAGGUUGCAUUGCCUAUUUGCUUGCUGGAAAACAUUGUCUUUGAACAAUUUACAAUCUUUUCAAAAUAUCAUAAUCUGUUCUCUGACAUUCCACCUUCGCCUUCAGCUCCCAUUAUAUGAAAUGACAUCAUCUUGUUUUCCCUUUUGAAAGUCCCAUGUUUGCCUCAGAAGGGAGACUGAGAUGUUUUUCCACUACUUAUUUGCAAAUCUUGGCAGAGCCUGACCUAGGGGCAUGGCCUGACUAACCCUGCGCUGAUGUUCAAAGAGGUGUCCUUCUAAAGCUUUGACUUCUGUCCACAGGUCUGUGUGUGUGUGUGGGUGGUGGUGGGGGCUGGGAAGUAGGGAUAGAUGCUCACCACCUGAGCACUUGUUGGAUAAAAUUUUGAUCUUUUGUCUACCUAAUAUUCUUGUUCAUACAUUUCAAAAGUGGAGUCCAUCCUUCUCUGCAUGUUUGGGAUGGUCCAGGAGAGUUGUCUUACUUACACAGCUACCCUGGAAGAGACGCAUGCUCCAACGUAGAGAAUUCUCAGUGAAUGUUGAUUACGUGGGCAGUAUUUUUGUGGGUCUGGGUCAAAUAGAUCUUCUUCCCAAGACAUGCACACCCAUGGCUACUGGAUCACAGGUGUUAAGCCUUCUCUGCCAUGGGAUCUCUUUGGGAUGGUAAAGAGCUAAGAUUCAGGACCCAGGAUGUCCAUGUGGUAUGGACUGACCCACUGGUAGAUCCUACCUUUGACAAAGAACGCAUUCUUCCCCCUGCCCUGAGGGCCUCAUGUUAAGCUACUAAUAUGAUUAUCUCGAGAUAUUGAUACAGGUGUGACCCCUUCAAUGGAACCAGCCCUGAUUCUGCUUGUUCAGGUAAGUGGGUAAAGGAGAAAUGAGGGAGUGUGAAGCAGGAAAAUUCUCUGCUUGAUGACGUUCUCGUGAUACUUAGGGCCAUCUAGAGGCUGGGAACCCACAGAAAUGUCACAGUAGAUAAUCUGCAUGAGUAUUGAAAGAGAAACAUGGGAAACAGGAAAUCUUAAGUUGUAUUGACUUUGGUUCUGGUGCUUUUAUUGACCUAAGCUCAACCUGAGGCAAGGUGGGAGCCAGGGAAAAAUGUCUGGUUUCUGCAGUUGAUCCCAAAUCACCUGAUGGUUGUCUGAUGGAGAAACUAGGGUGUAGAGGCAUUCUAAGAGAAGGCAAAAUGUGGGCAUUGAAUAAAGAAGGGAAAACUUUUUUCUAAUAAGAAAAGAUAAAUCCCCAGGCUCUCGUCUGUUUACAUUAAAAUCUACCCAUUAAAGUUGUUUGGGUAUGUCAUUCUGUUAACCACAGACAUUGUCGGGAUUUGCAGAGCUGGAUCAGAAGCCAUAGUGAAGAUUAGUGCUUGUUCCUCUCAGGUGUGCACUGGAGAAGAGAUCCUCCCUGGGAUGCUGGGAUCAUCUUUCCUGGGCAAGGGGUGAACGGACCCCUAAGCCUCUGGAAGUCUCUCUUCAUCGCUGGAAAAGGAAAUGGUUAACAGCCCCUCAGAUAUUCUACCAAGAAAAAGAGACUGUUAUUCUUCAAAAAUAUCAAAGGAAGGAUGAGGAACUAUUCCAGAUUAAAGAUAUGACAACAUGCAACAUGUGAUCCUGUAUUGGAUCCUGUGCUGGGAUGGGGGGUGGAGCUAUAAUAGAUAUUAAGAAAAUUGAUGGAACUUUGAGUGUGGGCUAUGAAUUAGAUAAUGUCAGUAUUAAAUUUUCUGAAUUUGAUCACUGUACUGUUAUGUAAGAGAAUGUUGCUGUUCUUGGGAAAUACAUAUGGGCAUGCUUAGGGCUAAAGGACUUUGAUGUCUCCAACUUAUUCUCCAAUAGUUUAGGAAAAAUGUGUGUGUACCCACAUGUGUUUAUAUAUGUAUGUGUGUACAUAAAUAUAUACACUUACAGAGAAAACAGUAAAAAUGUAAACAAUUUGUAAAUCUGGGUAAAAGCUAUAUGGAAUCCUUUAUACUACUGCAAUGUUUCUGCAAUUUUGAAGUUAUAUCAAAAUAAAGAGCUCUAAAAAAUUG